GCUUGUUUUCCUUUCUUUUUAGGCUUGCCAGCAAUCAGUCUUGACCAGAUCACUGUAAAUCAGUGAUUCUCGAUGAAGGGAGUGAAGGACUGCCGUGACUCUUCACUGAAACACCACAAUGGACGGAUAAAGUUUCUAUAAUAUGAUUCAUGCUCACACAGUGCCUGGGCAGACUAGAUGUUGAGUGAGGUUUCUGUGUGAUGCAAGGUGCAACCUGGUACCUAGGAAGAAACUAGGCAUUAGCCAGGCCCUAGAAGCACAUUGUCCCAGGAGAGUCUAGGAGAGAGUGGUCAGGGCAGUGACACUAUGCUAAUGUGAUCGGUACCACAGUGCAAUUAUUAUUAUAUAUGCAAAUUAAUCCUUCCAAAUAUGCUGCCAAAUAUACUAGUAUUCAAUGCCAUUCUGUUGGGGUUAUGUCAUAGCAAAUGCGCCCCCAAAUUCUGGGGUUCUGUCUCACCCAUGUAACUCAUCCAGUGAGGGUGUUCCUGCUCAGCAACUUGGCUUUCCUCCAUACAGUGAUUCUAGAACCCAGUCUCCUUCUAACUGUGGCUCUUCCAUCCCUGGAGCCUCAGAAAGAAUAUGAAAGAAGAGAAAGAAUAUGAAAAGAUCAGCUCUUGCUGCCUGGGCCUGCAAGUGACCGAGGUCACUUCCAGUCCCCUUCUGUCAGUGGUUACAUGGCUCCAGAUGGGUGCAGCAGGUGCUCGGAACAUAACCCCUGGCUGAGCAGCCACUUCCCAACAACAACUCUAUCCCGUGGAAGGAGGAACACACGUGUCUGGUGACCCACCCACCCUCUGUGCUGCAACCUACAAACCCAAUACAGUCGAGAGCCACUGGGAUUUUGUUGCUGUGUCUCAUUAAAAAGUAGGAAAAU
rnacentral:lncRNA from 1 species